UACGGAGGGUGCGAGCGUUAUUCGGAAUUACUGGGCGUAAAGCGCGUGUAGGCGGGGAAGCAAGUCUGAUGUGAAAGCCCCGGGCUUAACCUGGGAAGUGCAUUGGAAACUGUUUUUCUUGAGUACUGGAGAGGAAGGGAGAAUUCCCGGUGUAGAGGUGAAAUUCGUAGAGAUCGGGAGGAACACCAGUGGCGAAGGAGCCCUUCGGGACGGUUACUGACGAUGAGACGCGAGAGCGUGGGGAGCAAACAGG
rnacentral:rRNA from 1 species